UUCCCUUGAGAACCGUGGAAGACCACCACGUUGAUAGGCCGGAUGUGGAAGUGCAGUAAUGCAUGUAGCUUACCGGUACUAAUCGUUCGAUUGGCUUGAUUGC
rnacentral:rRNA from 1 species